rnacentral:sRNA from 1 species
CUUCUCAGGUCGGAAGAACAGUGAACCGAACGAGACAGUCAUCCGGCCGGCCGCGAUAUAGUUU